rnacentral:rRNA from 1 species
CAAGUGGGCUUACGACCUCGAUGUUGGAUCAAGGUAUCCUGGUGGUGCAGCCGCUACUAAAGGUUCGUUUGUUCAACGAUUAAAACCCUACGUGAUCUGAGUUCAGACCGGAGUAAUCCAGGUCAGUUUCUAUCUAUAAUUUAGAAUUUUCUAGUACGAAAGGACCGAAAUUUCACGACCAAUGAACAUCUAAGUCGUCCAGCAAUUAAUGAAUAUACACUUAAUUAAUGUAAACACCUAUUAAUCUUAAGAUUAAAGA